rnacentral:rRNA from 1 species
UACAGAGGUGGCAAGCGUUGUUCGGAAUUACUGGGCGUAAAGGGCGCGUAGGCGGCCUUCUAAGUCAGACGUGAAAUCCCCAGGCUUAACUUGGGAACUGCGUCUGAUACUGGGAGGCUUGAGUGCGGGAGAGGGAUGUGGAAUUCCAGGUGUAGCGGUGAAAUGCGUAGAUAUCUGGAGGAACACCGGUGGCGAAGGCGGCAUCCUGGACCGACACUGACGCUCAUGCACGAAAGCGUGGGGAGCAAACAGG